rnacentral:lncRNA from 1 species
AUGAAUGUCAAUCGUGGGCUCCAGAAAAUGGAAUUUGGAACAUUGGUAGCAGAUCCUUCAAGGAAGAAAUUUGGACCGGAGGGACCUUUUGGCGUCUCUCACUUUUGGGUGAGCUUCUCCAUAGACCACCGGAGUGUCCUCAUGACGUGGCAACUUGUCUACCCCAGAGUGAGUAAUUCAAAAGAGAGAACCCAGGACAGAAGACACAGUCCUUUGUAACCUAAGUCUAAUCUUACAAUCCAACAGUCUUUUAUAACCUAAUCCUUAAAGUGGCAUACCAUCGCUUCUGCCAUAUUCUGUCUAUCAUUCAUACUAGCCCUGUGGGCAGAGGCUCCACAAGGGUAGGGGAAUCAUUGGUGCCAUCUGGAAGGCUAGUUACCAGAGAAAUGAACUGAACAACAUCUAGACCUAUGCAACUAGAACUAGAAGACUGUAAGAUAACAAAUCGACUUUUUUAUGGACUCCCGGAGGGACUGUUUGGUCUUUUCGUACGGCAUUGCUGUUACUUUCUGCACAUCUAUUCUAUCCUCUUCUAGUUUUACUCCAUGGACUUGCUCUCCUCAUUCCAUCAGUUGGCUAGUACACAGUCCCAUAAGGGCUCUCUGCUUCCAUCCAACUCAUGCUCAUAUAACUUUAUUUCUCCUUCCUAACUGCUAAGUAAGUAUCUUACUUACUUACAUCUAAUGUCCCACAAGAGAAAUCUAAUUGUUUCAGCUUACCUUUUCAUGUCCCAUCAUAGGUAGAGGUCAGCCUCUAGUAGAAAAACAGGUGGGUUGAAUGCCCACUUCCAAGCCAUCAGUCAUUUUUAGGGGCUGGGAUUAGGUGGGAUUCAUGCAAUAGGAACCCGGUAACAUAGCUAUCUAAGGUGGGGGCCAGGUCUCCUAGAAGCCCCGUGGACAGGGCAAACGCUGACCAACAUCUUUAGUGAUUAGGAACACAACCGCUGGAGCCUGCCAAAGUAGGGCCUGAAACUUGGUCAUCAAUUUACUAGCCAUGUUUCCUUAGGCAAAGUAUAUAUCUCAUCGCUAUAAAGUUGGUGUAAUAAUAAUAGUAUUGUGCUUGAUAGCACUGUCACAAAGGUUAAAUGAGAUUAUGCACAUAAUAUCCUUGGCACAGUGCCAGGAACAUAAAAACUUUCAACAAAUGAUAGCUUUCGUGUCUAUUGAUAGAGCUUAUUUUAGGUGAUAUUUCUGGGAGCCAAUGGAGGGAGGCAGAGGAGGUGUCUCUAUCAGUUUCAUUCAUUCAUUCAUUCAAUAAAUAUUUAUUAAUGAUUCUUCAUUUCUGUUGGAAUAUGCUUUUUGGUAAUAACAUACACAUCAAAAUUGUACCUAUUGUUGAUUUGUUAUCAUAUUACUCACAAAAGCUGUUUCAAGCUUUUUUGUUUUUAAAAAUAUUUUAAAUAUAGAUGCCCA